GGAACUGCAAUGCUUAUAGCAUUCUACUUCUUUAGAAAAAACUAUAGGAUUACCAUUGAGCGUCGCAGGCACAGUGAAGAAUGUGACAUUGGGAAGCACCGUCAGUUACGAGAGGACUCCAUCAGGUCAAACUUCUCAGCGGCAUAAUCUCCAACAGUCCUUCACAGUGAAUCGCACAUCCAAAUGUGACCAAAGACUUUGCAAAAGCUGUCAGUGGUGUCAUGCUGUUUAAAAAAAAAAAAAAAAGACAAAAAAAAAAAAGAAAAAUGACAUGCUUUUUGUUUGUAACCUUUU